AGUCAAUGGAGUUCUUGUCUAGAAUUCCUCUCCAACAGUAGCAGCCAUCCUUGGAAGUGGCAGAAAAGGGGUUAAAAGGCCACGUGGGGCCAACCGUCUGCCUGUCGCCCACUCUCCCCACUGCUGUCCAUCACUAUAAAUCAAAAUGCAGCUUCUGGCCUAUCCCAGUCAUGUUUGGUGUGUGCUUUUUGGGGGUUGGGGAGAUGGAAUCUAAUCUCUCUUUGGUAGAUUGUACAGUUAUAGACACCAUCCCAGCAGCGAUUCUAUGUUCCCUCAGGCUGUUGUGAACCUAUUUUUCGUCUCCAUUUUCUUGGUAGCAUCAUUUAAUGCCAGGUGCUGGAAUCCACUCUCUGUACACCUUUUGUUCUCUGCUACUGAUCAAUAAAUAGCCCUGCAGUUAAUGACUUCCCUUAACUCUGCUAUGGAGCGCAUCAUUCAGACAGUGAGGGCUGAGUCAGGAGCCUACUCAUCCCCUCUCUGGACACUGACUAAUCACUGCCAUUAGAUGCAGAAUUGCAGACAAAAGAUGGAGGGGCACAGGGAGGACUGACCUAAUGUUUAAUGCAACUGAUGACCAAGAGCCCAGCGCAGCUGCAAUGCAGGAGGAAUUCAAAUCACCUGUGCAUCAAAGACACCUCCAGGCUUUUCCUGGCUAUCUCAAGCCGAGGCAAGCAACUGUUGUACUGGGCGGUUCAUUGGGAUGGAGGGAGGGGAGAUGAAAACCAGAACAGUUGCAAGUUAAAACUGUUUCUGGACCAAACUAGGAAGCGGAUGGCAUGUUCUCCCAGCAUGGGAAGAACACUGGAAGGUGAAUGCAAUGGAGGGUAAAGAAAAGAUGUCAUUCGUAAACCAUAAGAAGCCCCUACUGCCAGUUGCCGUCAUCUUUAGCUAGUACUCUUCACAUCCUCUCCCCCAAUUUUUUUAUUAGUAUUUUAUUUGCAUUCUACAUCAGCUCCCGGAUAGUUACGUAGUCUAGAUAUUUGGCUGUGGAGACAGAGGUUCGGGGGCUGAACUUAACCAUAGGGUCCUUUCCAGGUCUGCAUUUCUAAGAUUAUAAAAUUAUUUUAUUUACACCCUGGGAACCAGAUCCAUGGACAGAAUUCAUUUUGACAAAAAUGAUCUUCUUCAAGCUUUUCCAAAGCCUACCAGAUCUUUACAGUAUUAGACCAGUAAGUCGGCUUCCAUAAUGCAAUGGUAGCCACACAAGGAUUUUUGUUUAUUUGUUCGUUUGUUUUGUCCUCACCAAAUUCCCCUAGUAACUAACCUCACAACGUUUGCAUUGGCCAGUA
rnacentral:lncRNA from 1 species